rnacentral:rRNA from 1 species
UAAUUGAAGAGUUUGAUCAUGGCUCAGAUUGAACGCUGGCGGCAGGCCUAACACAUGCAAGUCGGGCGGUAACAGGGAGAAGCUUGCUUCUCUGCUGACGAGCGGCGGACGGGUGAGUAAUGUAUGGGGAUCUGCCUGAUGG